CGGGCGGCGGCGGGAGGAGGCGCAGGCGCGCUGCUCGCCAGUCUGCAGCCCCGCGCCGAGCGCCGCGUCUCGGGAGUUGAUGGCAGCAGCACUGUGCGGCCGCCAGGCCGAGCGCGGAGCGCAGCCACACGCCGCUGCCCAGGGAGCGCCCAAGAUGUGGGGGGACCGGGGCGGCAGCGGCCGUAGCAGCGCCAGGGACGGGGGCACACAGCAGCCUCCGCUCGCCCGCCUGUCCUGACCUGCCUCGCUUGCCCCCAAAGAAUGUCAGCCAAGUCUAAGGGGAACCCCUCCUCGUCCUCUCCAGCCGAGGGGCCGCCGGCAGCCUCCAAAACCAAGGUGAAGGAACAGAUCAAGAUCAUCGUGGAGGAUCUGGAAUUAGUCCUGGGCGACCUGAAGGACGUGGCCAAGGAACUUAAGGAGGUGGUUGACCAGAUUGACACCCUGACCUCUGACCUACAGCUGGAGGAUGAGAUGACUGACAGCUCCAAAACAGACACGCUGAACAGUAGCUCAAGUGGCACAACAGCUUCCAGCCUAGAGAAGAUCAAAGUGCAGGCUAAUGCACCACUUAUUAAACCCCCAGCACACCCAUCUGCUAUCCUCACAGUCCUGAGAAAGCCAAACCCUCCACCACCUCCUCCACGGUUGACACCUGUGAAGUGUGAAGACCCCAAACGGGUGUUUCCAACUGCCAAUCCCCUAAAGACCAAUGGCACCCUUCUACGAAAUGGAGGCUUACCAGGGGGACCUAACAAAAUUCCAAAUGGAGAUAUCUGCUGCAUACCCAACAGUAACUUGGACAAGGCUUCAGUGCAGCCUCUGAUGCAUAGACCUGAAAAAGACAGAUGUACCCAGGCAGGGCCUCGAGAACGAGUUCGGUUUAAUGAAAAAGUACAGUAUCAUGGCUAUUGUCCUGACUGUGAUACCCGGUAUAACAUAAAAAACAGGGAGGUCCACUUACACAGUGAACCUGUCCACCCACCAGGAAAGAUUCCUCACCAAGGCCCUCCCCUCCCUCCUCCACCUCAUCUCCCUCCUUUCCCACUAGAAAAUGGGGGACUGGGAAUAAGCCACAGUAACAGCUUCCCCCCUGUCAGACCUGCAACUGUGCCUCCUCCCACUGCACCAAAACCACAGAAGACGAUCUUGAGGAAAUCAACCACUACAACCGUGUGAUGUAUGCCCUUAAAAAACAAACAAAAAAAUCUGAUUUUUUAAAAUUUUCUAUAUUAUAAACAUAAAAUAAUAAAUAAUGAGCACCUUCUACUCGAGCAAUAAAAAGCCCAAAUAUAUUAAUCCUGCAUUCAGCAAAGUGGCAUAAAAAUCACCUGCUCCUUCAGGGUGGAAGGAAUACCUUUACUUGGGGCAUGUCAACUCGUUUUUCUCACUUCAGAUUCAUCUUUAUGACUUCUUGAGGACAGAUCUAAUUCUAAAGUAACCAGAAACCUGACCAUCUCAGAGCAGCAAAUCCCCCAACCUUGGAGCACAAAUGAUACGGUUUGCAUAAAAUCAUCUUCCUCUGUCUGACAGCCAUGAGCAGAGCCUUGGGGGUACAAAAAGCCACAGCCUUAAAUCUCUUCAUUCUGAAAUUACCAUGAAGAUAAAAUAAAUAGAUGAAAAGGACUAAACAAGAAGCCAACAAAAAAUAAAAACCAAGCCAACUCACCUUGUUUCCCUAUGGAAAUAAAGCAUUCCCAGAUGUGAGACCAAGAAAAUCAAUAUUAAGCAAUUAAACCUGUAAAUUAUAAACGGAUUUAUCAUUUGAGAAGGUUAAAGUAUAGAGAGACAAGGUACUUCUAGCCAGAAUACACAUCAUUGCAAAAUAUUUAGCCAAAAAUGAAACUGAGUGACCAGAGGAACACUGCAGCAAUGAACAGUCUUAGGAUGAAUGUUUUUGUUUGUAGAAAGAAUGUUUGCCAUCUUGUGUGUAGCCUCAAAGCCAUACUGAGAUAAUAGCAUUGUUGUCCAUUGCUUGAAAAAAAUUUGCGUUCAAUCCAUCACCUUAUACUGGUUGGAAGGGAAGGGAAGUCAGUUUUUACUGAUUACUUCUCAGCGAACUUCUAAUGUUUGCACUGUCACUUCCAUUCAGGGUAAUGAUGUGUGCUGUUAUUUGCACAGAUGGUCCCAUGAGUUUUGAGACCACAACAAGCAGUUUCUUGCAGGAAUCCACAAAGGAAAAAUGUAAGAAUUCUCAAGACAUUGAUUUUUCUUCCUUCUAAAAAAAAAGUUUUCUAAUAAAAAAUAGAUUUGAUUUUGAAACAAAUUUUAAAAUAACUACAGAAUAACAAUGAAAAGGCAUCAGUGAUCAAAUGAAUGAGAAAGGGAUCAAAAGCUUUUAACGAAGAUCAUCUGAUAUCAUUAACAACCAAGAAGUCAAAUACAGCGAAAUGCACACUAAGCAUUUGUGUUGAACAUCAUUUGUUCUCUUAAUUAAAAAGUCAUUUGUAAUUUGUAUUUAGCAUAUAACAGUUUUUAUAGCCAAACAGCAUUUUCAGUUUAUUUUUCUAAAUAAAUGUGUUGUUUGUAUUAUUCGUAGUUGCUUAUUUAAUUUGGUUUUCAUUAUCAAGAAAACAAGCUUCCUUUUGUUUAUUGGCAAACUUUUGUCAUAUUAAUUCAGAACUAAUGGAAGAUUGAUAUUUCAAAUAUUUUUGUAGUAUAAAAUUAUGCUUUCUGUUUUCUAAGCUCUGAAAAACAUGAUAUAUUUUUCACUAUGACUUACCUGUGAAGGGCUAUUUUAAUACUAUAGUUAUAGUAACUAUUAGGAAUUAAUUUUAAUACAAGGGAACAUUGCUAGAAAGCAGAAAGCUUGGGUAUUGCACCAGUAAGGAUUUUUUUCUAAGUUUUGUUUCUGGAAUUCCAUUCAGAAGGUAAAAAUUAGCUUAAAAAGUAGCUCAUUAAUCAUGCCUCAAGUGUUCUCAUGACUGUUAUCCAGAAGUCAGUCUGCUAAGAACUUUCCUCUUUCUUUUUUCUUUUCUUUCUCUAUCUUUUUCUCUUUCUUCCUUCUUUCUUUCUUUUUUUCUUCCUUCUUUCUUUCUUUUUCUUUUUCUUUCAUCUAUUAUUUAUCUAUAUCUAUCGGCUCUCUAUCUUCUAUCUAUCUAUCAUCUAUCUAUGAGUAGCUAAUCAUACUGGAGUGAAAACUGAACUCAAUCAAUAAGGGCUGAUUGUAGUGUACAGUUCAAACAAUUGAUUUUAACAAUUAAAAGAAAAGGUCAUUAGGCUUAUUCCCAAACUAUGAUAUAAAACCAAGUUCCCAGUAUAUUCCUCUGUGAUUUAAAUUGGUUUACACUCUGCAAUAUCUCUUGGUACUUAGAGUAUCUUGCAAUGUAAUGAAAAAAAUUACUUUGUUUUUGCAUGAUUUGAAUCUCUGAAAAAUAAUACAUAGCACAUUAAAAGAAUCCAGCAAGGAAUCAAAUUGCCAGCUCCUGUGAGAUGAUGGGCAUUGAAGUAUAAAUGCCUGGACUCAUGCACAUUAUUUUAAAAUUCAUGCUGACUGUUUCAAUCUGUAAAUUAUUUGAACUUAUAAAUAGGAAAGCCAACUUUCCCUGAAAUAUUUAACAAUAAAAUUAAACAUAAGUGAUAAAAAUUGUAGUUAUUUUGUGCAUAUACUCAGUGGUACGCAUCACUUUAUCAGCUGUACUCUCUGGCAAGCCUCUGAAAGACUGUAAAUAUGUAAAACGAUCAGGCCUGCUCUUCAGCAGGAUAACUCCAGUAGUGGUUUAUAAAGUGAGUUAGAGUAAGACUGGCGGUGCCUAGACUAAAAAAAGUGUCUAAAAUUUUCUUUGAAUUUAGUUUGGUUUUUUCUCUUAAGUUUUGAUUAUAUUUACUUUCUUAGUUAUUCACUUGUCCAUCACUGUUUCUUCUUUCAUCUUCAGCUUUUAAAUCUGCUAUUCUCACAAGUCAAAAUUACUUUUACAAAAUGUGUUCAACAAUUGCCAGUUCCCACUGAGAAAUACUACUUAACAGGUUUUUAUUUUUAAUUCAAAACACCAAUGUCGACCUUCUUCACUUCCUGACCUUUGCUGUUAGAGUGCUGGUGUCUUAUGUAUAACAUGCAAGUCUCUCCUUGUUGGCCCCCAUUCACGUAAUUAUCAUGUUUACUUAGUUAAGACAAUCUUACUUAUUUAUGGAGUGUUAACUAUGGGACAUGAAUUGUGCAGGGCAUUAGGAACAAAAGGAUGAGGAAAAACACAUAGAUCCUAUUUUAAUGAGUCUAAAAUCUAGUUGGAGAGAAUGACACUAAACAUUUAAUUACACAUUAACAAAAAAUUACAAUAUGCUGAAUUCUAUAAAGAAAUGUAUGUGGGCUGGGUGUGGCGACUCACACCUAUUAAUCCAGAACAUUGAGAGGACGAGACUGUGGGGAUCGCUUGUGUUCAGGAGUUCAAGACCAGCCUGGGCUACAUGGUGAAACUCUAUCUUUACAAAAAAUACAAAAAUUAGGUGGCUGUGGUGGUGAGUGCCUGUAGUUCCAGCUACUUGGGUAGCCCUGAGGCGGGAGGAUGGCUUGAGCCUAGGAGACAGAGUUUGCGUGAACCAAGAUUGUGCCACUGCACUCCAACCUGGAUGACAGAGCAAGACCCUGUCUCAGAAAAAAAGAAAAGAAAAGGGAAAGGCAUAUGGUAUGCAGAUGCCACAUGUCCAAUGGAUCUAACCCAGUGGGUAGAGUAAGCUUUGAACUGAGAUCUGAAGGGUGACUAGUGGGUAAAAAGGGAAAAAUCAUAUGCAAAACACGGCAAAGGGGAAGAAGAAGGUAAAACAUCAGAGGACCUAAAAAAGUCUAGAGUGGCGCAAAGAGAAUAAAGAGAGUAGUGCAGAGAAAACUGGUUAGAUGGAAAUCAGAUCUUACCUACCUAUAUCCUAGGUAAAGAAACAAAAAUAUGAAGAGUAAAAACAAUAAAAAGAAUAAAACAGUAUGACAAGAUAAACAAUAUGAAGAGUAAAAACAGUAACUAUGCAGAAAUGAUGGAAGUAUAGUCAUGCAUGGCUUAACAGGAAUCCUUUCUGAAAAAUGAGAAGUUAGGUGAUUUCAUCAUUGUGCAAACAUCAUAGAAUGUACUUACAUGAACCUAGACGCUGUAACCUAUUUUGCUUGCAGGGUACAAACCUGCACAAUAAAUUACCGUAAUGAAUACUGUAGGCAGUGGUAACACAGUGGUAGUUGUGUAUCUAAACUUACCUAAACAUAGAAAAGAUACAGUGAAAACAUAGUAUAACCUGUGGGACCACCAUUGUAUAAGAUACAUGGUUCCUUGUUAAUGGAAUGUGGUUAUGUGCUGAAUGUAUCCAGUACAACAAAUGCAGGUGUCUUUAACUCCUGAAAAGACUAAGAUGAUGUUUCCUUCUCACCACCACCUCCACCAUAACCUCCCUCACUCAUAAACACAAAGGGUAUAUUUGCACUGCCAAAACAAUAUAUCUGACUGAGUGAAAACUAUAAGAAAAAGAGGAUCAAAAUGAAUACAAUCAUGACUCAUUGUAUUGUGCUUUGCUUUAUUAUGCUUCACACAAAUGUUGUGUUUUUUACAAAUUGAAAGUUUGUGGCCUACAUGGAGCAAGUCUAUCAGCACCAUGUUUCAACAGCAUGCAUUUACUUUGUGUCUCUAUAUCACAUUUUGGUAAUUCUUACACUACUUUAAGCAUAUGCCUCAUUAUUAUAUUGAUAUUCAUAUUAUUAUAUAUGUUAUGGUAAUAUGUGAUUUUUAAUGUUACUAUUGUAAUUGUUUUGGUGUGCCAAGGAUGACGCCCAUAUAAGAUGAUGAACUUAAUCAAUAAAUGUGUGUGUUCUGACUGUUUCAUCAACAAGCCAUUCCCCUAUUUCUCUUCUGUCUUUAAGCUUCCCUAUUCCCUAAGACACAGAAUAUUGAAAUUAGGCCAAUUAAUAACCCUACAAUGUCCCAUAAGUGUUUAAGUGAAAGAAAGAGCUGCAUGUUUAUCAUUGUAAAUCAAAAACUAGAAAUGGUUAAGCUUAGUGAGGAAGGCAUAUCGAAAGCUGAGAUAGGCUGAAAGCUAGACUUCUUGUGCCAAAUGGUUUGCCAACUUGUGAAUGCAAGGGAAAUGUUCUUGAAGAAAAUUAAAACUGCUACUCUAGUAAACACACAAAUAUAAAAAAAAAGUGAAGCAGCCUGAUUGCUGAUAUGGAGAAAGUUUGAGUGGUCUAGACGAAGAUUAAACCAUCCACAACAUUUCCUUAAGCCAAAAUCUAAUCCAGAGCAAGGCCCUCAACGUAGAGACAAUAUCCUCCAUCAGCAAAAAGAUGACGACUCAUGAAGGCUUAG